rfam:Blastococcus saxobsidens DD2 complete genome
GCCGGUCCUCGGUAGUGGCUCCCGGGACGUAUCGGUUCCCCGGAAAGGGGAACGACACCGCCCGGGGGCUUCGAUCGAGCACCGGU